GCCAACUUAUAACUUACCUUCCUGGUUGAAUAAAAGCUUUUCUUGAAGUUGAGUUAACUUGUGUUUUUAAGGCAGCAAUUGAACUUAAGUUUUUAAGUUGAAUCACCCUGAUAAUUUUUACAGUGUACAGAGACAUAUUGCA